rnacentral:rRNA from 1 species
UGUUUGGGAGGGUCCAUAUACCCGAUACCGUCGCACCGCGUCCAAGUCCAUCUUGAAAGAGGCCCCGGUCCCGAGAGGGUGCCAGGCCCGUGGUAGGCCAGUGCAGGUGUUGGGUGGACCUCUCCUCAGAGUCAGGUUGCUUGAGAGUGCAGCCCUAAGCGGGUGGUAAACUCCAUCUAAGGCUAAAUACAACCACAAGACCGAUAGCGAACAAGUACCGUGAGGGAAAGUUGAAAAGAACUUUGAAGAGAGAGUUCAAGAGUACGUGAAACCGCUCAGGGGUAAACGGAAAAGACCCGAAAUUUCCGAAGAGGGAGAUUCACGUCUUCUCGCUGGUUCGACGCAUCGACCCUCUCGACAGCUUUCGCUCCUGCUCGGGCUCGCCCGGCGCUAGGCGGUGGAGUUGCAGAGGUUGGUGUGGAGGCUGGCGGCGGACCGCACUUCUCCCUUAGUAGGACGUCGUGACCCGUCCGGCCAUGGUCUUACGGGCGUGAGGUGGAGCCUGUCCGUCGGUGCUUGCAUUUUGUACGGUCAGACCCUUACGUCCCGGCCAUGGGCUCAAUCCCGGUCGGUAUAUAAUGACGGUGUUAGGCCGCUUUACGGUGGGGGAAACCCCUACCUGCGAGCGCGAUUGCGGCCCUUGACAAGGCGUCGGUAGGUUAUGCCAAGGCGGGCUUACGUCCGCCCGGCUGCCUCCGAUCCUGUUGGUCUCGGUGUCCUCUCGCUGGUCACUCCUUCACGGGAGUUCACCUGUCUACGGCGAAUCAGUUUUGGGCUCUUGUCCGACCCGUCUUGAAACACGGACCAAGGAGUUUAGCGUGUACGCAAGUCAUUGGGUUCUUACGAAACCUAAAGGCGAAAUGAAAGUGAAGGAAACUUCACGUUUCUGAGGGAAGAUGAGACGGUUACCCGCAAGGGGCCUCUCCGCACUCCCGGGGCGUCUCUUUCUCAUUGCGAGUGGAGGCGCACCUAGAGCGUACACGCUGAUACCCGAAAGAUGGUGAACUAUGCCUGGCCAGGACGAAGCCAGGGGAAACCCUGGUGGAGGUCCGCAGCGAUUCUGACGUGCAAAUCGAUCGUCGGAGCUGGGUUUAGGGGCGAAAGACCAAUCGAACCAUCUAGUAGCUGGUUCCCUCCGAAGUUUCCCUCAGGAUAGCUUGCGCUCGUACGAUACGAGUCUCAUCCGGUAGAGCGAAUGAUUAGAGGCCUUGGGGUCGAAACGAUCUCAACCUAUUCUCAAACUCCAAAUAGAUGAGAACUCCGGCUUUCUUGAAUAUUUUCUUGAAGCCGGGGGCUUGGAUCAGAGUGCCAAGUGGGCCAAUUUUGGUAAGCAGAACUGGCGCUGUGGGAUGAACCAAACGCUGAGUUAAGGCGCCUCAAUCAACGCUCAUGUGAAACCAUGAAAGGCGUUGGUUGCUUAAGACAGCAGGACGGUGGCCAUGGAAGUCGGAAUCCGCUAAGGAGUGUGUAACAACUCACCUGCCGAAGCAACUAGCCCUGAAAAUGGAUGGCGCUGUAGCGUUGUGCCUAUACUCAGCCGUCAACGGCAAAGCUUGGUACGGUCCCUCUCACGGGGGGCCCGACUGUUAAGCCUUGACGAGUAGGAGGGCCGCGGCGACGUGCGUAGAAGGGUCUGGGCGUGAGCCUGCCUGGAGCCGUCGUCGGUGCAGAUCUUGGUGGUAGUAGCAAAUACUCCAGCGAGGCCCUGGAGGACUGAUGUGGAGAAGGGUUUCUUGUGAACAGCUGUUGCACAAGAGUCAGUCGGUCCUAAGCCCUAGGAGAAAUCCGAAGCGAUGGGUUGCCGUUCAUUUUAAAUAUCCAAUUAUUUGAUGUUGGCACCCGUUUGGGCGAAAGGGAAUCCGGUUCCUAUUCCGGAACCUGGCAGUGGAACCGUUCCAAUUCGGGCCCUCGAAGGACUCGUCAGGGCAACCUGAAUAGACCCGGAGACGCCGGCAGGAGGUUGGGGGAGAGUUGUCUCUUCUCUAUAAGCGAUCGAGUUCCCUGGAAACUUCUAGCAAGGAGAUAGGGUUUGGAUCGCGAAGAGCACUGCAGUUACGGCAGUGUCCCAAUCUUCCUCUCGGACCUUGAAAAUCCGGGUGAGGGCCACGAGGAACACCACGCCAGACCGUACCCAUAUCCGCAGCA